UAAUUUUGUUUUUUGCUGUAGUAAGAUUGGCAUGCGAAACAUAGAAAAGAAUAUUAAAGAAAAGCAAAGAAAUUCUGAGGUUCUUAUGGAAGACGUUCUUAUCGCUCCAACCCUCGAGGAACGUCCGCAAAACCAAGGAGACAAUUGCAAAUGCGGGAGGAAAUGGAGAAGGUUUGAGUAAAUUCAUUGCAAAAUGUUGGCAUUGUACAUUUGUGUUUGGGAAGACAUGCGCUUGCAGUACAGUACCGUGCAGUAUAUGAGUAACAGAGUGAGAUAUCCAGCAUAAAUAAAGUUAGUUUAGACUCCUCUUGUAGUAAGGCGGUCAACUUGGAGAAGGCCUUUAUAUAGACA
rnacentral:lncRNA from 1 species